CUUGUUAAUACAUUCCAGCAUCUAUAAAGGUCCUGCCUGACCACACAAGAUAAGCUCUAAUUCUCCUAUUUCACUCCAUCCUGCACAGGCUUCUCAACCUAUUCACCUCAUUGUGCUGGUAGAUCACACCCAGCAAAGUCUGAACAGGACAAAAUGUAUUCUUUUGUCUAUCAUGCAUGUCACCCAUUGCAGCAGGAAGGUGUGGUCAACAUUUGGCUCCCAGGCAAAAUGUGGCCUAUUUCUGUCCCCAAGACCACUAAGCAGUGUGCCUCUUCUCUGGAUUCACCUGUUGCAUGUUUGUGUGUCUUGGCAUCAGCUAUACCAUCUUGCUGUUGCUUGGCUCUCAUUGUCAGGCCUUUGGUCGAGGAUUCGGAAGAGGAGUGGGAGGCUUAUUGGCUUUAAGAAGGAUUUGGAUAACUUCAUGGAGGAGAUUUCUAUCAACGGCUACUAGUCGGAGGGCUGUAAGCCCCCUCCAGCCUCAAAGGCAGGAUGCCUCUGAGUACCAGUUGCAGGGGAGUGACAGCAGGAGAGGGGGCAUGCCCUCAACUCCUGCCUGUAGGCUUCUACAGGCUUCCAGCUGCAUCCGGUGGGCCACUAUGUGAAAUAGGAUGCUGGACUAGAUGGGCCUUGGGCCUGAUCCAGCAGGGCUGUUCUUAUGAGGCAGUGGAUUUACCUGAGGAUCCCAAGGGCCAGCUUUGGGAUAAGAGUAACAAGGCACUUGAAGGCAAAGCAGAGUGAUGAAUUCCAGGGGGAACUUUCACUGCCGAUGUUAUCUCCCAGGGCACGCAGGUGCAAGAAGUAACAAGACCAAAUCAGGGAGUUGAGAUGCAGCAGUUGUUUGCAGUGUGCACAAGACUAAUUGAAGGUGGCUGACUGGGCAGACCACUGAUUGAUUCCAUCUAGCAACCUGCUAUAAAUUCUGCAGCUUCACUCUGCCACCCUGCUGAACACAACUCAUCAGACAGCCUUGAUACCUCCCUCUGUGAUGCCUUGGACCCAGGAUCUCUGGAAUCUGGUGAGCAACCUUGAUUGUGGGGGAAUCCAGGUUGAACUUGGUGCUCGGUAGUGAUUUGUUCUCUUAUGCUUUUUACAGAUGCUGGAUGAAAACCUCGUGCCUGCCUGAAAGAAGUAUUAUAACCAGAAACAUCUCUUCGCCUGCUGCUGUGUCGUAAAUUAUGGACAGGUUCAUGUGGCGGGGUUAUGACACUCGUGCCAAUUCCACUUUUCACCUCUAGAACAGCCCUGCUCCCUGGCCUGAUCUGUGUAGCAUGCUUGUCUGCAUCAAGAGACUGCUCCCUUGAGAUCUGACCUCCUUUGGACUUUUCCCGGCUCCCUGACCCUCAAUUGGCCCUUGGGUCCCUGCUCCUGCAUUCCCAGAGGAGAAAGGUCCCGCAACAUCAGUCGAGCAACAAGUGUCCAAAGGAAAGGAAAUGAGGAUUUGCGCCGAGUCUUCCUCCACUUGUGCUCUAGUCCUCUCCCUCGCUGCUUCAACUCCUACAGUUCUUCUGAAUACCAUGGGGAAGAUUUUAAAGCAAGCCGGAGAGGACCCUUAGGAGCAAUUGUGUCUACUGCUCUAACUGUUGUGAAGAAGUUUUUGAAUCCACGUCACUGAAAAAGGCUGAGAAACAGCGGAAACGUGUCUGGCACAUGGUAAAGAAUCAUUGGACAUACUUCACAGAAACAGUGGAUAUUUUCAUAUGGAUUUUCAAGAUAUAUCCAUGGAGCUGUAUUAAGGACAACAUACUGACUUUUAUUGCACCAGCUGGGAAUCAUAGAAGAGAAAUAUUCUGGACAUUUUCAGAGACUAUGUUUAUAUACUUAUAAACUAUAACUAUACUUAUUAUAGGAGUGUAUUUUUUCAUGUGUAUUUUUAAGGUCUGAGAAAUUGGAAGGACUUUAGUAUUUGGGAUCUGUGUAUUGGGAAUAAUGAAGGGUAAUUAUUUAUUAUGCAAAUUUGAUUAAAAUGGGAUACCUCCUGGA